UACGAGGGGUGCAAGCGUUAUUCGGAAUUAUUGGGCGUAAAGGGUGUGUAGGUGGCAUGCUAAGUCUGUUGUUAAAUCUCCCGGCCUAACUGGGAAAUCGCAAUGGAAACUGGCAAGCUAGAGGGUGAGAGAGAAGAGUGGAAUUCUCGGAGUAGCGGUAAAAUGCGCAGAUAUCGAGAGGAACACCGAUGGCGAAGGCAGCUCUUUGGCUCACUUCUGACACUGAGACACGAAAGCGUGGGGAGCAAACAGG
rnacentral:rRNA from 1 species